rnacentral:rRNA from 1 species
GCUUGUCUCAAAGAUUAAGCCAUGCACGUCUAAGUAUAAGCGAUUAUACUGUGAAACUGCGAAUGGCUCAUUAUAUCAGUUAUAGUUUAUUUGAUGGUUCUUGCUACUUGGAUAACCGUAGUAAUUCUAGAGCUAAUACAUGCAUCAAACCCCGACUUCUGGAAGGGGUGUAUUUAUUAGAUGGAAACCAAUGCGGGGCAACCCGGAUUCUGGUGAUUCAUAAUAACUUUCGGAUCGAUCUUCGGAUCGAUGCAUCAUUCAAGUUUCUGCCCUAUCAGCUUUGGAUGGUAGGGUAUUGGCCUACCAUGGCUUUAACGGGUAACGGAGAAUUAGGGUUCGAUUCCGGAGAGGGAGCCUGAGAAAUGGCUACCACAUCCAAGGAAGGCAGCAGG